AGGUUUAUUGCCUGGCUAUAGACAGCCCGAGAAAGAAAGUUAGCUUCCCACCCCCGGCAGCUGCAGUGAUUGGAAAACGAGCCUGAGCCUUUUCACCGAAAAGAAUAUAUCAUUAUCCGUUGGGUUCGCCCUACUUCCCUGUUAAGAAUCACCUGAAGUGCCUAAAAAUCCGCGAGUUUCAGGGCUUUUCCCUGGAAAUAAUGAUUUAGAACGUCCUGGGGGAGGGCCUAGGAGUCUGUGGGUUUAAUAAGCACCUCCAGGAUUUGUGUCUUCGGGUAAGGUGGCGUAAUACUAAAGAGCUGGUAUUCAAAAGUUUCUUUCCAAGAAAUUGCUUCUGUUACCCUGUUACGUUUAUCCAAAUAUUCUCUGUUAGUUGCUCUUUUAGAGUUGAAUUUCUCCAGCAGCUCCCACAAAUAAGCAGUUUUUCCUGGAAGGGGAAAUGUAACAGUUUAAGAGGGGGCUGGCUAGUCUUGAUUUUCGCAGUACACCGUCACCCCACCACCUCCUCAGCCAGUGAGCCACAGAUGUGUGUGGGGUGUCCAUUAUCAGCCUGUUCAGCUGGAUCGGUUUGUGACCCUAAAGUGAAUCUCCAGACUGAGUAGGAUGAUAGUGUAGGCAGAAGCCUUUUAAAGGAGGGAACUGGGGUGUGGAACGAGCAAGUUUCAGAGCCUCACUGGGCAGGCCUGGGCAGCCAGAAGACUGUGGGAAUACACAGAAGGUGGCUUUUUGUGCACCAUGGGCUGUGGCAGGAGAACUUGUUAUUCCCACCCUAGUAUCAGAAAUGCUCCAAGAGAGAGCAAAGGUUAAAUACCGUGGUGUGUUCCUCCAGGUUCACCGUGGGAAAAACCCUUUGCUCAGGGGCUGUCUGGCAGAAGGUGCUGGCAUCCACACCCUUGUCAGAACCCUCCAUAGACUGAGCAGCUAGAUCACCUAAGCUGAUGGAGCUUUCCUGCAAUACCAGACACUGGCAUCCAUGAAGCGAAGUCUUAGGGUGGGCAUUUUGUGGAAAAGAGAGAGGAAAGAAGGAUUUCUUGGGGUUAACAGAAAGUGGAUGUAGAUAAAGGGAAUUCUCCAGUCUUGCACCGCUAACAUGGUGCAAUAUUCACAAACAGACAUGAUUCGUGCUUGUGGACAAAACUGACCUCGGAGCUGAGUUCUAGAACCUGCUGCAAGAGUCUGCCUUUGGGAUCCAUGGGAGGGCUCACACCAAGGUCACAGUCUUCCCCAGGCUGCUCCCAGUCCACAGCACAUGGCAGGAGUACUGGAGCUGGGCCACUUCUGCUCAAGUCAAGCAUUGAAAAAUCCUGGAACUUUCAAUAUUUAUGUAGCCAAAGUGUCUCUCUUGCUCACUCACUUGCUUGCUUGUGUACCACUAAUUGAGCAACUACUAUGGGCCAGAUGCUCUGGAAAAUGUUGUUCUGAAGAGGAGUACUAAUCUUCACCAGUGGUGCACCUAGCUGUAUUUUGCACAUUAGGAAACAGACCCAGAGGCACACCUCCCAGAUGCAUCUUCCUCAUGGGGUUGUCGCAGGGUUUAAGAAAAUGAACUCAUAUAAAGGGCUCAGAAUAGUGUCUGGAUCACAGAACUCUGAAGAAUUUAUGUCAGUGAUUCUGAAGUGAGAAUGGAACAUGGAUCCAACCCCUCUAAGGCAGAAGAGAUGUGAGCAGAUUACCUUCUCUGUCCUUAAAAGGAGUGGCCCUGCAUUCCCUGAGAGGGCAUAGCUGGGGCAGUCAUCUGGACCCACCAGACAGGAGCUGAAGCUUGAUAAAAGGUGCCUGGUUCCAGUGACUAUGGAGCAGCCUGCCAGCACUAGAGGAGUCACAGAGAUGUCUAGAUGAGUCACAGAGACAUUUACAUGACAGAAAAAUAAACAACUAUGUUGUUUAAGCCAUUAUUAGUCAGUCUUUCAGUUCAAGCAGCUACACGUGUAUUUUAAUUAAUACCAAGACAGCUCUGUAAGUUUGAUCCAU
rnacentral:lncRNA from 1 species